rnacentral:misc_RNA from 1 species
AAGUCGUAACAAGGUUUCCGUAGGUGAACCUGCGGAAGGAUCAUUAUCGAGUUUUGAACGGGUUGUAGCUGGCCUUUAACGAGGCAUGUGCACACCUGGCUCAUCCACUCUCAACCUCUGUGCACUUUAUGUAAGAAACGGUGUAAGCCAGCUAUUUAAUAGUUGGUAACAAGCCUUUCUUAUGUUUACUACAAACGCUUCAGUUACAGAAUGUUUACUGUGUAUAACACAAUUAUAUACAACUUUCAGCAACGGAUCUCUUGGCUCUC